rnacentral:misc_RNA from 1 species
GAUGAAGAACGCAGCGAAAUGCGAUAAGUAAUGUGAAUUGCAGAAUUCAGUGAAUCAUCGAAUCUUUGAACGCACAUUGCGCCCGCCAGUAUUCUGGCGGGCAUGCCUGUUCGAGCGUCAUUUCAACCAUCAAGCCCCGGCUUGUGUUGGGGACCUGCGGCUGCCGCAGGCCCUGAAAACCAGUGGCGGGCUCGCUAGUCACUCCGAGCGUAGUAAUACAUCUCGCUCAGGGCGUGCUGCGGGUUCCGGCCGUUAAAAAGCCUUAUUUACCCAAGGUUGACCUCGGAUCAGGUAGGAAGACCCGCUGAACUUAAGCAUAUCAAUAAGCGGAGGA